rnacentral:tRNA from 1 species
GGGCUCGUAGCUUAGACAGGAUAUAGCACUGGCCUUCUAAGCCAGGGGUCUCGGGUUCAAAUCCCGACGGGCCCG